rnacentral:rRNA from 1 species
UGUAUUUAUUAGAUAAAAAACCAAUGCCCUUCGGGGCUUUUUGGUGAUUCAUGAUAACUUUACGGAUCGCAUAGCCUUGCGCUGGCGACGGUUCAUUCAAAUUUCUGCCCUAUCAACUUUCGAUGGUAGGGUAUUGGCUUACCAUGGUUUCAACGGGUAACGGGGAAUUAGGGUUCGAUUCCGGAGAGGGAGCCUGAGAAACGGCUACUACAUCCAAGGAAGGCAGCAGGCGCGCAAAUUACCCAAUCCCGACACGGGGAGGUAGUGACAAUAAAUACUGAUACAGGGCUCUUUUGGGUCUUGUAAUUGGAAUGAGUACAAUUUAAACCUCUUAACGAGGAACAAUUGGAGGGCAAGUCUGGUGCCAGCAGCCGCGGUAAUUCCAGCUCCAAUAGCGUAUAUUAAAGUUGUUGCGGUUAAAAAGCUCGUAGUUGAACCUUGGGCCUGGCCGUCCGGUCCGCCUCACCGCGUGUACUGGCUCGGCCGGGCCUUUCCCUCUGUGGAACCCCAUGCCCUUCACUGGGCGUGGCGGGGAACCAGG